rnacentral:lncRNA from 1 species
GGGGGGGACAAGUUGGGCGCCGAAGCCGCGAACACUGAAAACAAUUAGUGAGUUUAAGAUACCCCGGUUUCGGUGUACGGGUACGAGUAGUGUCAUCUUGUUUACUAUAGUUUUUACUGAUGCCUGUAAUUCAAUCAUACUUUUUCUGUUUUCUUGCAAUAGACAAUGAUAUAAUGCGGAAAAUGUGCACCUUAAUUACGAGUAAAGGUACAGACAUGGACGAAAAUAUUGCUAACCAAAAUCAUGCUACCCGUACUCGUACACCGAAACCGGGGUAUCUUAACCUCUCUAAUAAGCGAAAUUAACCCUUUGAAAUGACAAAGCACCAAAACGAGG